rnacentral:rRNA from 1 species
UGGGGAAUAUUGGACAAUGGGGGGAACCCUGAUCCAGCCAUGUCGCGUGUGUGAAGAAGGCCUUAUGGUUGUAAAGCACUUUAAGCGAGGAGGAGGGUACUGGUAUUAAUACUACCAGGUACUGGACGUUACUCGCAGAAUAAGCACCGGCUAACUCUGUGCCAGCAGCCGCGGUAAUACAGAGGGUGCGAGCGUUAAUCGGAUUUACUGGGCGUAAAGCGUGCGUAGGCGGCUAAUUGAGUCGGAUGUGAAAUCCCCGAGCUUAACUUGGGAAUUGCAUUCGAUACUGGUUAGCUAGAGUGUGGGAGAGGAUGGUAGAAUUCCAGGUGUAGCGGUGAAAUGCGUAGAGAUCUGGAGGAAUACCGAUGGCGAAGGCAGCCAUCUGGCCUAACACUGACGCUGAGGUACGAAAGCAUGGGGAGCAAACAGG